AACUUUAAAUUAGGGUUUUGUUCGCGUGUAUAUAAAUCCGAAGCCGUAGCAUCCAGAACGUAGUCGUUCCUGUCACUCGCCCCGUCUGCAGGACCAUUGUUGUUCUUUGGCGAUCGGUUAGCAGGUCUUCGACAUGAGGGCUAAGUGGAAGAAGAAGAGAAUGAGGAGAUUGAAGAGGAAGCGCCGAAAGAUGAGGCAAAGAUCCAAGUAGUUCGUGUCUGAUUUAAAUAAAAAGAGAAUCGUUCUUUUAGUCGUUACUGAUCUAGGACGAGUAAUAGUUGAAUUCUUGUGUUUCUGUUGGAUUUUUAUCGAGUUUUUUUUGGUUUCAAUGUGCAAUUUUGUUCGACUUAUUCACUCUGAGAUCUACAUUAUUGAAUUCACUGUCUGGAGUUUUUUAAACGUCGGUUGAUGGUAUGUUUGUUUUCCC